rnacentral:lncRNA from 1 species
AGCCGACGCAGGCAGCCGCCGGGUGAAGUACGCAGGUACCGCAGGUACCCGGCGCCCGCCCGAUUUCAGGGCAAGUUACUGUUUUCAGAAUCCAAGGGGAAUCUAACACCUUAACAAUGCCAAGAGAAAAGGAAGGAAAACGAAAAACUAAAGGAGCACUCCUGCCCAUCAUUCCAACUCUUAAAAAGUUCCUGAAAACGUAUGAGAAGUAUUGUGCACAGACUCAGACGUCUGUGUGUCCAGCCAUCAAAAGGGACUUGAAAACCAGCAUCAAUAAUGAACAAAUUCUCAGGAAGUUUGUACUUGUAAGACCUGAUGACUCCCCGCCAGGCAUCCUACCAAUUUCCUUGGAACCUUUGCUCAUGACAGUUCAGGAUGAGUGUUUCACUCUGGGGAGAGAGAUCUGCAUUUGGGGCCUUCAACUGAGCAACCCAGAGAUGGCCAGACUCGCUUUGCUUUUGGAAUCAAAGGGGUGCACCACCUGCCCAUUUACCACCCUGGAACUCAUUGAUUGCAAGAUGGAUCUGUGGUCCCUGGGGAGACUUGGGAAGGCUCUUCAGUCCAGCAGUUUGCAAACUCUUGUUCUUGAUUACUGCAAAUUUGGAAAUGAAGAAAUUGAGAGGAUUUUCUCAGGCCUGGAGAACAACCAAAGGCUUCAAGUCCUCAGCUUACGUUACUGUGGUCUGGGGCCACAGAUUGGGCCAAGGCUGGGCUCUAUCAUAUGCCAGAGUGCCAUUUGUGAGCUGCACCUUGAUGGCAAUUACUUGCAGUGUUCUGGAGCUCUGGAUCUCCUCAGACCCGUAGCAGAGUAUGCAGAGAUGCAGGGGAAAGACCAGCCAGCCACUUGCUCACCAGACCCUAGGCAUCCCCCUCAGCUGCUCCAAGCUAAGCAGAGAGGAAGUUCAACUUUGAACCAGAUUACAAAGUCAUCUGGAGCUCUAACAAUGAAAACUACUUCAGGAAAGAAGAGAAAAAAAGGAAUCAAGAAAAAACUUAAAAAUUCGGAAGUUGGACCUUGGUUAGUGAAGUUGUAUUUGGCAGAUAAUGGCAUAGAUGGAAAAGGAAAAGAAGGAGAAAAUAACUUGCUGGAAUUCACUCAAAUUUUAACAUGCCUGAUCAAAUACUCUGCCCAUUUAAGGGAGAUUGACCUUGGAAACAAUGUCCUGGGAGAAAUGGCUGCUGCUGACAUUCUUGAAGCACUGAGAGCCAGAAAGACAGGUAAACUUCCAGUUUUAAAAGUUACAGUAACCCCCCAGAUCUCUUCAGAUACCUUCAUGUCUAUUUGGGAAAAUAGCAAGAAAUCAAGUACUACCCAUAAAAAGAGGAAAAAGGUAUGCUCUCAGAUAUCUGUGCUGGUAAGUAGAAGCCACCAGGGGGUGCUCUAUGGAGUCUGGGCACUCUGCUAGGAUAGAUGGUGCCCUGAGUAGCACAUUUUGCACUUGAUCAGAUCAGGAACAUUUGGGUUCUAGGUAACACUCCCCUAAAGCAUCAUUCCACACUGAUGGAUGAUGACCAAGGGACGAGCGGUAACAGAAUAACAUAGUUCUCUCAAAGAAUAGUGCAAACUCUACCUCUUCUCUUCAAACCACAACAUACACACAAAAUCCUGGCUCCAAUUAGCCUAUUUGUGGAUCUAAAACAAUGAAUUUACCUAAGCUCUUUAUGAAGCUGUUCUACAUCUUAAGGGGUAAUGAUUUACAUGUGCUUACUCUCUAUGUAGUUGAACUUCCUUUUUCAUUUUUUUCUAUUUAUUAUCUCUUGUUCAUUUUUUCACAGGCUAGAAACUGAAUAUGGAUGCCAUAUAGCCAUAUGGAUUUUAUCUAUUUCCAUGACCUACCACACAUGCCUGGAAAGAUAUUGUUUGUUCUAUAAUAAUAUUUUUCACUAUAACCAAGCCCCUUUCAAGUUGUAAGAUUUGAUAAGACUCCUUAAUGAAAGUUCAAAGUAGUGUUAGUCCUACCAUGCUUGUCAUUUUCUAAAAUGUUGACUUUAUAAAUAAGCCUUGGUAAAAAUAAGUGGGAUUCUUCUCUGAAGCUUGUUCUCUUGUGCGUGUGAAAUUUAUAGUUUGAAGGAAGUCAUGAUCUUUAAGAAAGAAAGACUUGUCUUUCAUAAAUAUAUCUAUGGUUGGGAAAAAUAGGGAUUUUGGGGGAAAAUAACCACUUUCUAAAAGGCAACAACCCUAACAAUGGGGAUCUUCCCCAAAUGAGGAAAAUUCUGAUCACUCUACCCUCCACACUCUGUAAGAUUUCAAUAGCUCCAAAGGAAAUGGAAGCAGUAUCCUGAUCAAUGCAUAGAUGAUAAAUUGAAUUAGGUAAAUUGUAUACAGUACAGGGAUAAAAAGCAUGGGCUAGGCAAUUAGAUGAACCAGAAUUCUCUGUGGAAUCCUGCUGCUUUCCGGGUGACCUU